AUUGAACGCUGGCGGCAGGCCUAACACAUGCAAGUCGAACGAGUGGCGGACGGGUGAGUAAUGUCUGGGAAACUGCCCGCUGGUGGGGGAUAACUACUGGAAACGGUAGCUAAUACCGCAUACCAUCGGAUGUGCCCAGGUGGGAGUAGCUAGUGGGUGGGGUAACGGCUCACCUAGGCGACGAUCCGUAGCUGGUCUGAGAGGAUGACGAGCCACACUGGAACUGAGACACGGUCCAGACUCCUACGGGAGGCAGCAGUGGGGAAUAGUGCACAAUGGGCGCAAGCCUGAUGCAGCCAUGCCGCGUGUAUGAAGAAGGCCUUCGGGUUGUAAAGUACUUUCAGCGGGGAGGCGUUACUCGCAGAAGAAGCACCGGCUAACUCCGUGCCAGCAGCCGCGGUAAUUC
rnacentral:rRNA from 1 species